AAAAAGACAUUGAAGGGAAUAAGACAUUUGGCGCGAAUAUACAGAGAGCCGGCAUUUGGUGAAAGCCGGUGUUCCGCCUUUUGUGAAUAGCUCAUCCCGGAGUCGCCGGUUUGAAGAUCCACGCAGUAGAACCGGACGCAGCGGCAGCGUUAGCGGCCUGAGCCUUGUUGGAGGCUUUUUGAGGGCAUCCCGCGCGAGCGGAUGCCGAAAUCAGGGUGGUACCGCGGAUUUUGAUUGAUUCGCCCCGGAC
rnacentral:ncRNA from 1 species